rnacentral:tRNA from 1 species
CGGGCAAUAGCGCAGUUGGUAGCGCGCCAGGUUCGGGACUUGGAGGUCGCGGGUUCAAAUCCCGCUUGCCCGA